AACCCAUGGUGAGCGCACCUUCACAGUAAGUCUUUGUAUCUCUCCCAUGCAUCGUAAAGUGUUUCUAAAUCCAUCUGCACAAAAGAAGAGAUAUCAUUACGUAAUUU
rfam:Gossypium hirsutum cultivar TM-1 chromosome 8, whole genome shotgun sequence